GAUUUGACUGAGACUAGAAAACUUUGGAAAAAACAGUGGAAAGUCCAUGGUAAAUACUCUGAUCUGCUUGCUAAAGACUACUUCAAUUUACCAUUCAAGUUUUAUGGAGACGUUAAUGUGACAAGGAUGUUUGAGGAUGCUGGGAGUUUCAGUUGGGAUGGAUUUUUAUCAUAGCUUGAUCAUUCAAGUGAUAAGACAAAAGACUAAAAAAUUCGCAAGUAUAAAGUGUUAUAAUGGAACGUUGUGGGAAGUUCAAAUCUGCUUCGAAAAAGAUGGAGUGUUUCGGGACUGUAAUGUGACGCCUGAGGAUAUGUUUUGGGACGUAAAUGGACAAUAAAUGAAUAUCACAAAAUUUCACUUCUUGAGAUGUCAUCUACAAUAAAGGCAGAGAAAUGUUAUGGUAGAGAUGAGGAUGGUGGUGGUAAGAUUCCUACUAUAGCUGAUUAGCCCAAGCAAUGAGCACUAAAGUCUGGUAGUGGUGAUGAGUAAGUUAAUUAAAGUUAUAAUUAACGAUCUUUUUUCUAUUCUUUCAUUUUUUUCAUGAUGGUUUUUAUGUGUGUAUUAUGUUGAUGUUUGGGCUACAGACCAGUGCCUUUAGUAGUAAACUAGCUCUCA